GAAACAGUGGCUAAGACUGGAUAGGAAGAUAAAAGGCAUCUUGUAUCUUUUAAAAGACCUAGUUAAUAGGUAUGCUUUAGGAGGGGCUUGCGCCAUAUUAGUUAGUUGGUAGGGUAAUGGCCUACCAAGACGAUGAUGUGUAGCUGGACUGAGAGGUUGAACAGCCACAUUGGGACUGAGACACGGCCCAAACUCCUACGGGAGGCAGCAGUAGGGAAUUUUCGGCAAUGGAGGAAACUCUGACCGAGCAACGCCGCGUGAAUGACGAAGUACUUCGGUAUGUAAAGUUCUUUUAUCGAGGAAGAAAAGCAAAUGGCGAACCAUUUGUUUGCCGGUACUUGAUGAAUAAGCCCCGGCUAAUUAUGUGCCAGCAGCCGCGGUAAGACAUAAGGGGCAAGUGUUAUCCGGAAUUAUUGGGCGUAAAGGGUGCGUAGGCGGUCUAGUAAGUCAGUGGUGUAAUGUCAACGCUUAACGUUGUCCGGCUAUUGAAACUGCUAAACUUGAGUUAGAUAGAGGCGAGUGGAAUUCCAUGUGUAGCGGUAAAAUGCGUAAAUAUAUGGAGGAACACCAGAGGCGUAGGCGGCUCGCUGGGUCUUAACUGACGCUGAGGCACGAAAGCGUGGGGAGCGAACAGGAUUAGAUACCCUGGUAGUCCACGCCGUAAACGAUGAGUACUAAGUGUCGGGUUAAACCGGUACUGAAGUUAACACAUUAAGUACUCCGCCUGAGUAGUACGUACGCAAGUAUGAAACUUAAAGGAAUUGACGGGACUCCGCACAAGCGGUGGAUCAUGUUGUUUAAUUCGAAGAUACCCGAAAAACCUUACCAGGUCUUGACAUGUUUUUGCAAAAUGAUAGUAAUAUCGUGGAGGUUACCAGAAACACAGGUGGUGCAUGGUUGUCGUCAGCUCGUGUCGUGAGAUGUUAGGUUAAGUCCUAAAACGAGCGAAACCCUUAUCGUUAGUUGCCAGCACGUUAUGGUGGGGACUUUAACGAGACUGCCAAUGAUAAAUUGGAGGAAGGUGAGGAUCACGUCAAAUCAGCAUGCCCCUUAUGACCUGGGCUACAAACGUGAUACAAUGGCUGUUACAAAGGGUAGCUGAAACGCAAGUUCUUGGCCAAUCCCCAAAAACAGUCCCAGUCCGGAUUGAAGUCUGCAACUCGACUUCAUGAAGUUGGAAUCGCUAGUAAUCGCGAAUCAGCAUGUCGCGGUGAAUACGUUCUCGGGGUUUGUACACACCGCCCGUCA
rnacentral:rRNA from 1 species